AGGUGGUGUUUCUCUGAGAUGAAAUACAUAAAAGUGUUUCUUUCAGAGAUUCCAUGGAAUUGUGGCUGGGGCUACUCUGCAAUGUCUGUGCAUGAGAGGGAAAAUGGAGCCAAAUGCCACAAAGCAGGAGUCUGAAGACGGUCAGGGUUGAUACUUGCUUUAUCCGACAACAUUAAGACAUGAAGAGGGCCUCCUGACCCUUGCCAGAAAUUCAGAAUGCUUGUUGAGCCAUGGAAGAAUUGAAAGACUCCAAGAGUGCUUCGUUAGGAC